CUCUACGGCCCUGCUGCCCUGAACAAGCCUGAUCCCGUCUGAUCUCAGAAGCCAAGCAAGGUGGGGCCUGGCUAGUACUUGGAUGGGAGACCACCUAGGAAGACCAGGUGCUGUAGGCG
rnacentral:rRNA from 1 species